rnacentral:rRNA from 1 species
UACGGAGGGGGUUAGCGUUGUUCGGAAUUACUGGGCGUAAAGCGCGCGUAGGCGGAUAUUUAAGUUAGAGGUGAAAUCCCAUGGCUCAACCGUGGAACUGCCUUUAAUACUGAAUAUCUUGAGUUCGAGAGAGGUGAGUGGAAUUCCGAGUGUAGAGGUGAAAUUCGUAGAUAUUCGGAGGAACACCAGUGGCGAAGGCGGCUCACUGGCUCGAUACUGACGCUGAGGUGCGAAAGCGUGGGGAGCAAACAGG